UACCCCCCACCCUCGAGUACUACGCGAGCAACUAGCGGCAGACAUAGACAAGCCUCGCGCUUACUAUUACUGGAAAAUAGUUGGGCCGAAGUGGCCGGGAGGAUCGCGUUGGAAAAUUCGAUCGGGGGAAAUGGAUUUUCCACGGUGAAAGUGGUGUGCCGAGGCCCCGAGGCCGGCCGGUUUCGACGGAAGGAAGGACGUUUUCCAAUUCGCCGAUUAUCCCGUGAAACAUGAUAUUUCGCGCGAUACUCGACCAUUUUCCAUCGCCGUCGGGAAAACGAACGACGCAAAACGCUCUUCGACUUCGUAAAAAUCUAAUGAGGGAAAAGAGUCGAGAGAGACGAGAUAGAGAGAAAGAAAGAAAGAGAGGGAGAGGGAGAGAGGGAGAGAGAGAGAGAGAAAGCGGGUUCGAUCGAAUCGAAUAUCGCAAGAAUUCGGUCGAGCUCGAUUCUCAAGUGCCACCAAGUCGGAAAAUUUGCAUCCCUCCCCUGGAUGGUGUGCCACGGUCCAACGCCGCUGCAAUUCUCGCGGACGAUCGUCCCUACAAUCGAACACCAUCGAUACACCAUCACCGGUUAAACACCUGAUGAAAACUCGUCGACUCGGGGGAUCCACCACCUCGGGUGAUCCUCCAUGUGCCACCACGUACGGAUGGAUCUCGAGAUAGAAAUUCGAUUAUCAUCUCUCUUGGAAUUGGGCACGCACCGUUGCUCACCUCCUGGAAACGCCACCGAGGAGGCUCGCCAUCCCCCCUUAUGAUCGAAUCAGCAAGGAAAUUGAAUUUUUCCGUAUCUCCGCCAUCGAUCUUUGCCGACUUAUCGUCCCGGAAAGAAUGAGUCCCGGGGCGAGGGAGAGAGAGAGAGAGAGUAACGAAAGGAAUUGUGUUUUCGAUGAUGAAGUGCGCGACUCUGGUGGCCAUCCUCGACGAUUUACAGCAACGAUUAAACCGCCGAAAAUAUUUCCUCCGUCCGGGGGGGAGAUAUUAUUUUUUUCCCCCUCCGUCUCCUUUCCCAGCUCAAUACCGCGUGAAUUUAUUAGAUUUCCAGUCCAAGUUCGCAGCAAGAUUUACCGGUGGAAAUACGUGCGCGGUGGAAAUCGUUUUUAACGAAUUCUGUGUGAUUUAUCGCCUUUCGUAUUAUAAUUUUCGAGGGGAGAUUGAAGGGGAGGGGUGGACUCGGCCGAUCGACGGGUAAUUUAUUACGUGAUCCAAUUCCCCGAUCCCAAUGUCCUCGCCCAUCGAGCAGGCUACCACCAGACCAUCGCAGAAAUCGGCCCCGUUUGUCUUUGGACGAGAAGAAUUUCCUCGCUCUUCCAUCCCUUCCUCCAUCCUUCCACCCUCCCCUCACCCUUUUUUCCUUUCCAAUGCUUCCAAAAAGAAAGCCUCUCUUCGCGAAUUAUCUCGCGCUCCUCGCUCGAUUCGUUCGCGCUGCCGUUUUCCGUCUCCUUGCCCGGACAUCCCGACGUACCUCCUCCUCCUCCUCCUCCUCCCUUACGAUAAAGCUCGGAAAUACGGGCGGCAGGCUUCGGAAAACAAACACGGACGGAUCGUAAAAUUAUUGAAUCGGGGUGUGGCGGGGUUCACCGCGCGAUCCGCAAUCGCAUUUAGACAGGUGGCCGCGUUAUGACACGGGCCAGGCCCGUUAAACCGCUUAAACCCUGGAUGGCGUGCCAGCCAUCGUACAGCACGUACGAAAAUUGGAUCGCGGAUUGUUAACAUAACUCGCACGUGUGCCGCUCGCGCGUAUGUCGCGCACGUAUCUCGCUUGUUCCAAGGUGCAUCGGCCGUCGGAGGCGGCGAAGUCGGCUAGCGCGCGUCUCCACUUCCCCUCGUGAACUGGAGAAUAUCCCUGUUCUCUCUGCAAAGCCUUUUUCCCUUCGAGUCCAUUCGAGUGAUCGUCACGUCGAUCGUCAUCGGUUCCGUCCGAAACUUCACGACGUUUCGAAAUUCUCUCCCUCUCUUUCUCUCUUUCUCUCUCUCUGUACACGUUUGCGCUCUGGGACAAAGUUUUCCUGCCAAGUUCUUGGAAUCUCGAAUUCUCCUCUACCCGCGAGAUCGGCGAAGAAUCGGUGCCCUCCCUCGUCACUCGCAUGAAGAGAUUAAAGUGCAGUUCCGCCACGACUCAAGUCUCUGUUCCGCCUCUGAGUCCGCGCAGCGGCCGAGAUUUAAUCUUUUAUCGCGUGCCGCGCCCCGAAAUCUCGGCAAUCGCGCCUUUGGCUGGGUGGGGUUGAAGAAACGUCGUCUCACGAACAUCGCGAGUGCUCGUGCGAGUGAAUUUCGAAUUUGGCAUUCGAGAAGUGAUACGUGAAGAAGGAAAAAGAGAUUUCUCUCCUUGUUGUUGUGUGCGCGAACAAUUGAAAAAGUUGGCACUGAGCAGUGAUCGUGAUCAUAGAUCGAUACGGUGGAUGAGUGAGUGGGGAAGAAGUGAAGAAGCCGAGGGGAUGAUGCGAGCGCAAGGGUCGUGCUUAUGAAAGAAAAAGGAAAAAGAAUCGAGUAUAGAUGAAAGAUACCGUGUGAGAGCUAAGACAGGCUCGCCACCGCUCCACAGAGUCCACUGUAUUAUCCUUUAUCGGCUGAAAUAUGGACAGAGAGUCGAUUUCGGAAACAAGAUUUUCCGAAGGUAGGAAAAAUUCGUCGCCGAACAGUGAGAAGAUGAGGAGGACUAGACGUAGAAAUCUGCCCUUAAAUGGGUGUAUCGGGUAAUCGAUUCCGGUUAAGCAUCGAGGCUUGAAUCUGCUGCAUGCAAAUCGAAUGCAAGAGAGCCUGAGCCGUACGUGCCAGACGAGGAGAUACCGUAACCGCUUCCGACCAACUGACACAUUGGAGAAAUCAGUGCACCGUGGACUGUAAAUCCGGUGCAUGUAUCCAGCAAGGAGAGAGAGAUCGCGGUUGCAUCGAUAACUAUUCAUAGCCUCGAGUUUCUCCCGGUGAUUGCGAUCGCUAAACGUGGUAAAUUGACUCGGAUUAUGGGGCCGAUUCUAAUUGUUCCUACGAUUGGGGGGGGAGUCGGAUAACGGAACGAUCGAUCCUAUAGGAUAAAGAAACGGACGGGGAAAUAAAUAAACAAAAUCGAUAAUACGAGCGAUUCGAGAUGGAAUAGGAAUGGGAUAGCACGGAUUCCGGAUGUGAUUCCCGGACGUUGAUUUCGAAAAAUUAUUGCGUGCAACAAUGCUCCCUCCGGGGCAUAAGGUUCGGCCUCGAAUUACAAAAAGGUCGGCUCGGAUAAUGACGGCACAAGCUGGCUACUUAGUAACUCGAGCACUCGAGAGAAAGAGAGAGAGAGAGAAGAGAGGAGAAAAAAAGGGGAGGAGAGGAAGGCGAGAGAGAAAUGUCUCGCGCAAGGGACGAAGACAGGAGAAUGCUUUGUCGCACGAAGUUUGGAAAGCUUUGAAGACGUUACCGAAGUCCACUGUCUCGCGGGAGGCCAGACGGGGAACGAGUAAAGAAUCGAACGUCGUUU